GAUGAACGCUAGCUACAGGCUUAACACAUGCAAGUCGAGGGGUAGCAGGGUAGCAAUACCGCUGACGACCGGCGCACGGGUGAGUAACACGUAUCCAACCUUCCCAUAACUCGGGGAUAGCCUUUCGAAAGAAAGAUUAAUGCCCGAUAGUACUUUUUCAAGGCAUCUUGAAAAAGUUAAAGAUUUAUUGGUUAUGGAUGGGGAUACGUUCCAUUAGAUAGUUGGUGAGGUAACGGCUCACCAAGUCUUCGAUGGAUAGGGGUUCUGAGAGGAAGGUCCCCCACAUUGGUACUGAGACACGGACCAAACUCCUACGGGAGGCAGCAGUGAGGAAUAUUGGUCAAUGGGCGAGAGCCUGAACCAGCCAAGUAGCGUGAAGGAUGAAGGUCCUAUGGAUUGUAAACUUCUUUUAUAGUAGAAUAAAGUGAUCCACGUGUGGAUUUUUGUAUGUAUACUAUGAAUAAGGAUCGGCUAACUCCGUGCCAGCCGCCGCGGUAA
rnacentral:rRNA from 1 species